AUUUGCUGUCUCACCCAUCGCUGGAUGCUGGCCCCUGGCACACAGUAGGCAUGCAGGACAAUGGGAACAAUAACUACCUCUGUUGGGGUUGGUGAGAGGUUUAUAUGAUCCUAUAUGUGUCAAGUGCUUAGAAAACUGGCUGUCACGAUGGGGAACCUGAGGUGGAAGGAGAGCAAGGAAUCUGCCUAAGUGCUGGCAGAUAAAGCCUGCUGACUGUCUGGUGGAUGACACUCGAGAAAGAGCUUUUGGGGCCUUUUGAUUUUUAAAGGAAUACAUUAAAGCAGCUCGCCUCAUGAAAAUCUUCUAGCCGGGAAUCAAUGGAGGAAUGACAGAUUUGCUUCCAUUCUUGAAGAGAAUUCACCAUUUUUGGUAUCUACUGAUCGCCUGCUACAAGUCAAACCCUGUGCUUGGGUGAAGGGGACCAGGUGCAUGAAAAACAGUGAGUCUCAAAGUCUCAAAGUGGGGUCUCCAGGCCAGGAGCAUCAGCUUACCUGUAAAACUACUUGAAAUUCACAUUCUCGAACUUCUCUCUGGACCUACUGAAUUGGACAUCCUGAGAGUGGG